GGAGGGUGAGAGGGUGUAUGGGGUGGAAGAUGUGUAGUUGAUCGAGCUCUCGGGGGAGCUCAGAGCAGGACUUGUGGAUGAAGAAGUUGCAUAUGGUACACCCGUAGAAUGGAGCUGAGAUGGCAAGAUGUGACGGGCUUGUUCCUGCUUGUGUAUCUCUGAUUUUGCUGUUAGUUGUUCUAUUUCAUUGUCCAGGGCAGCAAGGCUGGAAUCUGUGGCAUCACUUUCUUGAUCUGCAUCAUCUUCCUCUUCCCAAUCUUCGCUAGCCAUUGAGUCAGAAAGGAUAAAUUCUGCUUCUUGAAUUUGUUGAGCCACAUUUGACUCUUCAUCAGGUGAGCAAGCUGAGCAUCAAGGUUAGAGUAAGCCUCAGAGUCAACCCCGUGUCAACCUCUUGACGAGUUUCCGAGAAGGAGUAAGCUUGGGCUCGAGUGGGCCAAGCAAAGUCUAACCUCUUUUUGUUUUGUAAUCUUGUUUUGGUAUUUGUAUAUAGGGUUUUUGUUUAAUUAUAAGUUGUGGAGUUUUGAUGUAUGAAUCAAAUGUUUAAAACCUUUGUGAUGUAUGUACAUUGAAUGGUUGCACAGCUAUAAUAUGAGAUCUUUUCAUAUAAGCA